rnacentral:rRNA from 1 species
GUACCGGGUUGACUAGCAUAUCAUAAGCGGAGGAAAGAAACUACAAGGAUUCCCUAGUACUGCGAGUGAAGCGGGAAAGCUCAAUUUAAAUCUGCGGUCUUUGCGGUCCGAGUGUAGUCUGAGAAGUGCUUUCCGCGCUGGACCGUGUACAAGUCUCUUGGAAUAGAGCGUCAUAGAGGGUGAGAAUCCCGUCUUUGACACGGACUACCAGUGCUUUGUGAUGCGCUCUCAAAGAGUCGAGUUGUUUGGGAAUGCAGCUCAAAAUGGGUGGUAAAUUCCAUCUAAAGCUAAAUAUUGGCGAGAGACCGAUAGCGAACAAGUACCGUGAGGGAAAGAUGAAAAGCACUUUGGAAAGAGAGUUAAACAGUACGUGAAAUUGCUGAAAGGGAAACGCUUGAAGUCAGUCGCGUCGUGUGGGACUCAGCCUUGCUUUUGGUUGGGGGACUUCCUGGAUGACGGGCCCACAUCAAUUUCCACCGGUGGAUAAGGGCCCAAGGAAUGGGGCACCUCCGGGUGGGGUAUAACCUUCCGUCGCAUACCACCAUUGGGAUUGAAGAACCCAGCGUGCCCCAAGGGAACCUUUGAAGAUGCUGGCAUAAUGGCUUUAAACCACCCGUCUUGAAACACCGACCAAGGAAUCUAACAUGGCUGCCAGUGGUUGGGUGGAAAACCCGAACGCGUAAUGAAAGUGAAAGUUGAGACCUCUGGCGUGGAAGGCAUCCACGCCCGGACCAGACGUUUUCUGACGGAUCCGCGGUAGAGCAUGGAUGGUGGGACCCCAAAGAUGGUGAACUAUGCCUGAAUAAGGUGGAGCCAGAAGAAACUCUGGUGGAAGCUCCUAACGAUUCUGACGUGCAAAUCGAUCGUCAAAUUUGGGUAUAAGGGCGAAAGACUAAUCGAACCAUCCUAGUAGCUGGUUUCUGGCCGAGGUCCCCCUUAAGAUAAA